GAUGAACGCUGGCGGCGUGCCUAAUACAUGCAAGUCGAGCGAACAGACGAGGAGCUUGCUCCUCUGACGUUAGCGGCGGACGGGUGAGUAACACGUGGAUAACCUACCUAUAAGACUGGGAUAACUUCGGGAAACCGGAGCUAAUACCGGAUAAUAUAUUGAACCGCAUGGUUCAAUAGUGAAAGACGGUUUUGCUGUCACUUAUAGAUGGAUCCGCGCCGCAUUAGCUAGUUGGUAAGGUAACGGCUUACCAAGGCAACGAUGCGUAGCCGACCUGAGAGGGUGAUCGGCCACACUGGAACUGAGACACGGUCCAGACUCCUACGGGAGGCAGCAGUAGGGAAUCUUCCGCAAUGGGCGAAAGCCUGACGGAGCAACGCCGCGUGAGUGAUGAAGGUCUUCGGAUCGUAAAACUGUUAUUAGGGAAGAACAAAUGUGUAAGUAACUAUGCACGUCUUGACGGUACCUAAUCAGAAAGCCACGGCUAACUACGUG
rnacentral:rRNA from 1 species